GGCAUGAUGGCCGAGCGGUCUAAGGCGACGCACUCAAGCAUUUGCUUGGCCUGGAAAAACAGGCUCUAAUUGCGUUGGGAUUUAUCCCGCGUGCGUUCAAAUCGCACUCAUGUCA
rnacentral:tRNA from 2 species